GUGAGGAAUAUUGGACAAUGGGUGAAAGCCUGAUCCAGCCAUCCCGCGUGAAGGAUGACGGUCCUAUGGAUUGUAAACUUCUUUUGUACAGGGAUAAACCUACUCUCGUGAGGGUAGCUGAAGGUACUGUACGAAUAAGCACCGGCUAACUCCGUGCCAGCAGCCGCGGUAAUACGGAGGGUGCAAGCGUUAUCCGGAUUUAUUGGGUUUAAAGGGUCCGUAGGCGGACCUGUAAGUCAGUGGUGAAAUCUCAUAGCUUAACUAUGAAACUGCCAUUGAUACUGCAGGUCUUGAGUAAAUUUGAAGUGGCUGGAAUAAGUAGUGUAGCGGUGAAAUGCAUAGAUAUUACUUAGAACACCAAUUGCGAAGGCAGGUCACUAAGAUUUAACUGACGCUGAUGGACGAAAGCGUGGGUAGCGAACAGGAUUAGAAACCCUAGUAGUCC
rnacentral:rRNA from 1 species